rnacentral:rRNA from 1 species
UACGUAGGGUCCAAGCGUUAUCCGGAAUUACUGGGCGUAAAGCGUACGUAGGCGGGAGUUUAAGUGCAAUGCGAAAUCUUGUGACUCAAUCAUAUAGACUGUAUUGCAUACUGGGCACCUAGAGGACGGCAGAGGCAAGUGGAAUUGGUAGUGUAGCAGUGAAAUGCGUAGAUAUUACCAGGAACACCAAUGGCGAAGGCAGCUUGCUGGGCCGUAUCUGACGCUGAGGUACGAAAGCGUGGGGAGCGAACAGG